UUUAUAAUUUUAUAUAUCGUUGUUGUAAAAAUAUUUUUUAAUAAAAUUAAUAUUUAAAAAUUAACAUUAAAAUUUAAAUCAGAUCAAGAUGUAGGUUAUAAUUAAGAAUAUAAUGGGUUACAAUAAAUUUAUUUAAACGAAUAUUAAUUUGUAAUUACUAAUUGAAGGUGGAUUUAAAUGUAAUUUUAUUUAAUUUGAUAAAAUGAUUAAAAAUUAAAAUAUGC
rnacentral:rRNA from 1 species